rnacentral:rRNA from 1 species
GUGGGGAAUAUUGGGCAAUGGGCGAAAGCCUGACCCAGCAACGCCGCGUGAAGGAAGAAGGUCUUCGGAUCGUAAACUUCUAUCCUUGGUGAAGAUAAUGACGGUAGCCGAGAAGGAAGCCCCGGCUAACUACGUGCCAGCAGCCGCGGCAAUACGUAGGGGGCAAGCGUUGUCCGGAAUGAUUGGGCGUAAAGGGCGCGUAGGCGGCCUGGUAAGUCUGGAGUGAAAGUCCUGCUUUUAAGGUGGGAAUUGCUUUGGAUACUGUCGGGCUUGAGUGCAGGAGAGGUAAGUGGAAUUCCCGGUGUAGCGGUGAAAUGCGUAGAGAUCGGGAGGAACACCAGUGGCGAAGGCGACUUACUGGACUGUAACUGACGCUGAGGCGCGAAAGUGUGGGGAGCAAACAGGAUUAGAAACCCCUGUAGUCC